UACGGAGGGAGCUAGCGUUGUUCGGAAUUACUGGGCGUAAAGCGCACGUAGGCGGCGAUUCAAGUCAGAGGUGAAAGCCCGGGGCUCAACUCCGGAACUGCCUUUGAAACUAGAUUGCUAGAAUCUUGGAGAGGCGAGUGGAAUUCCGAGUGUAGAGGUGAAAUUCGUAGAUAUUCGGAAGAACACCAGUGGCGAAGGCGACUCGCUGGACAAGUAUUGACGCUGAGGUGCGAAAGCGUGGGUAGCAAACGGG
rnacentral:rRNA from 1 species